rnacentral:rRNA from 1 species
AGAAGCUCGACAGAAGCCCAUCGCUCCAUCUCUUCGCAUCCCUUCCCUGUAUCAUGGCAGCAGCCAGGGCGGCGCGACGUCGUCAAUCAGCACUCAAUCACCACCGGGCGGUGACCGGCAACCCACAGCAGAUCCGUUGCAGGAUCGCACCACCUCCGGUCGACAAGGAUUGAGCUCCGCGGAUCCAGGCGCACCGGCCAGAUCCGUCGCCGAGGCGACGACCUCCACCACCGCCCCACUAACCUGCAUCCUCGACGCGCCCAACCCCGGCCACCUCGACGACUCCACCUCCUCAAGGACGACCUGCACCACCGUCCUACCACCCCAGAAUUGACGCUGCCGCCGCCUCUCGGCGACUUCCCCUACCGGCACUAAAUUUCGCCUUUAAACAGUGGAGCGGCGCCGCCCCCAUCGCCUCCAACAUCAGGUCGGUGUCUGCUCCUUUACUCUGAAAUCGUGCCAUGCUGGCCAGGUAAUGUACAGUAGUCCGGCGGUCCUCUUACAUUAUUGAUUUUCAAUAGCACAUGUGUUGUAUAGAUUACUGAUUCAUACACUAUUGUUGCAGAUCUAUUCUCUUUGUGCUGAAGUUGGCUGGGGACUUUUCACGUGGCAAGUUUCGUUGGCUGUACUAUCAAAGAUAGAAUGAGUGGAUUUGGUGUCAUACCAGUCAUGUUUCGACACUGUACUGACAAAGUUUGAGUUUAUAUUGCCAUCUCAACAAUACAUGGAUAACAUAUUAAAGCCAUCGCGCCACCCGCCGGAUUGCUGUGGAAACUCCUGUUAGGCAUCCUCUCCUGAAUCUGCAUAGUAUUUGCAAAUUACUCCUGUUAGAUGUGAACGCACAGCUGGAGUGGAGACGACAAAUGGAAGAAUCACAGAGUGAAGGAAAACUGAGAGCACUAUGAUGUUCACUGAACUUCAGAUGACCGUUUUAUUAAAAGAAAAUUUUCGUUUAUUGCAACCAGGGCAGCGCUACAGAGGUACAAGCUUAGUACUAAACUGUUGUUAUGCAUCUGCAUGAUUGUAUAUGUAUCUCUUAAUGUAUGAGGAAGCUCUUCGAUCUAAAAAUGGCUUCAGAGGGUACUUCCAGCAUUUUGAAAUAUUCCACAGGAUAUAUGAAGACAAGCCUAUCCUAGCCAAUCGAUUCUCCGUAAUAAUUUACACUUGCUUUCAUGACUAUCUUCACUUGUGGCCUUCCGCAUCGUUCAACAUUUAAUUUUGAUCUCUGAUGCUUGCACGAGAUGCAAAAUUCUAGGAGCACAGCAUGGAUUUCAAAUUGCUUUUCAGAUGCAUGGGACCGUGUCCAUGACAUCAUAUGUCACAGGGCAACAAACAGCACAAGACAUCUUAUGAGUGGACAUUCGUGAUGGCGUCUUAAGAGACUAGCGAUGUCUGUGUUACCUGCUUCCCUCUGCGAUGAUCCCAUCCAGCAGGCAGGCGGGACUAGCAUGGACCGGGCGAGUGGCAGCGGCGACCGGGAAGGCUGGGUGAUCAACUCAGUUGAGCUAGGAUACAAUUAGAUAGCCACAGCCCACAGGGACAAUUUAGUCCUUUCACGAGCCUACUUAUGUGAGAAGAAAAAAAAUGAAUAAAAGAGGUGCUAAUGGCAUAGUAAUCAAGGUGUCAACGAUCUAAGUGGCCAUUUUAUGGAGUCAAUAUGCAAAGUGGCAAUUUCUCAAAGCCACAUGAAGGAGGUGCCAAAAAUCCAAAUACUACAACUUCAUACAGUCUAGGCCCUUGGCACUUUCUGCUAAGAGAAAAUAUUAGCAACAAUCAGUUUGCAUAAUAUUGAUGUGCUCAUUUAUCAUGGAUGGUUAUCAAAUGCAUUUCACAGAGGUUAAUGUGCCUGGAAGUAUGUAAUAAAGUUAGCUUAUGUGUGAUCACUUACCAAAUUUUAGCUUAUGUGUGAUCACUCUUACCAAAUUUCUGGUAAAAUAUCUAAUGGAAC